CCAAGGCGACGAUGGGUAGCCUGGUCUGAGAGGACGAUCAGCCACACUGGAACUGAGACACGGUUCCAGACUCCUACGGGAGGCAGCAGUGGGGAAUAUUGCACAAUGGGCGCAAGCCUGAUGCAGCAACGCCGCGUGAGCGAAGACGGCCUUCGGGUUGUAAAGCUCUGUCAGGGGGAGACGAUAGUGACGGUACCCCCAGAGGAAGCCCCGGCUAACUACGUGCCAGCAGCCGCGGUAAUACGGAGGGUGCGAGCGUUAUUCGGAAUUACUGGGCGUAAAGCGCGCGUAGGCGGCGCGGCAAGUCAGAUGUGAAAGCCCCGGGCUCAACCUGGGAAUUGCAUUUGAAACUGCCGUGCUUGAGUAAGGUAGAGGGUGGCGGAAUUCCCGGUGUAGGAGUGAAAUCCGUAGAUAUCGGGAGGAACACCAGUGGCGAAGGCGGCCACCUGGGCCUUUACUGACGCUGAGGUGCGAAAGCGUGGGUAGCAAACAGGAUUAGAUACCCUGGUAGUCCACGCUGUAAACGAUGAACACUAGAUGCCGGGC
rnacentral:rRNA from 1 species